rnacentral:rRNA from 1 species
AGCAGCCGCGGUAAUUCCAGCUCCAAUAGCGUAUAUUAAAGUUGUUGCAGUUAAAAAGCUCGUAGUUGAAUUUCGGGAUCAAUAUGUCGGUCGUGCUUUUUGGUAUGUACUGGCGUUAUUGGUUUCUCCCUUCUGACGAACCAUGAUGUCAUUAAUUUGGUGUUAUGGGGAAUUAGGACUGUUACUUUGAAAAAAUUAGAGUGUUUAAAGCAGGCAUUAGCUUGAAUACAUUAGCAUGGAAUAAUGAAAUAGGACGUUCGAACCUAUUUUGUUGGUUUCUAGGAUCAACGUAAUGAUUAAUAGGGAUAGUUGGGGGCAUUAGUAUUCAAUUGUCAGAGGUGAAAUUCUUGGAUUUAUUGAAGACUAACUACUGCGAAAGCAUUUGCCAAGGAUGUUUUCAUUAAUCAAGAACGAAAGUUAGGGGAUCGAAGACGAUCAGAUACCGUCGUAGUCUUAACCAUAAACUAUGCCGACUAGGGAUCGGAUGAUGUUAAUUUUUUAAUGACUCAUUCGGCGCCUU